rnacentral:rRNA from 1 species
UACGAAGGGUGCAAACGUUGCUCGGAAUCAUUGGGCGUAAAGCGCACGUAGGCGGCUUGCCAAGUCGGACGUGAAAUCCCUCAGCUCAACUGAGGACGUGCAUCCGAAACUGGCGAGCUUGAGUGCUGAAGAGGAUCGCGGAAUUCCCGGUGUAGAGGUGAAAUUCGUAGAUAUCGGGAGGAACACCAGUGGCGAAGGCGGCGAUCUGGGCAGACACUGACGCUGAGGUGCGAAAGCGUGGGGAGCAAAC